rnacentral:rRNA from 1 species
AUUGAACGCUGGCGGCAUGCCUUACACAUGCAAGUCGAACGGUAACAGGUCUUCGGAUGCUGACGAGUGGCGAACGGGUGAGUAAUACAUCGGAACGUGCCUAGUAGUGGGGGAUAACUACUCGAAAGAGUGGCUAAUACCGCAUGAGAUCUACGGAUGAAAGCAGGGGAUCGCAAGACCUUGUGCUACUAGAGCGGCCGAUGGCAGAUUAGGUAGUUGGUGGGAUAAAAGCUUACCAAGCCGACGAUCUGUAGAUGGUCUGAGAGGACGAUCAGCCACACGGGAACUGAGACACGGCCCAGGCUCCUACGGGGGGCAGCAGUGGGGAAUUUUGGACAAGGGGCGAAAGCCUGAUCCAGCAAUGCCGCGUGCAGGAUGAAGGCCUUCGGGUUGUAAACUGCUUUUGUACGGAACGAAAAGCCCCGGGUUAAUACCCUGGGGUCAUGACGGUACCGUAAGAAUAAGCACCGGCUAACUACGUGCCAGCCGCCGCCGUAA